GGGGAUGUAGCUCAGUGGUAGAGUGCCUGCCUAGCAAGCAGACAGGCCCUGGGUUCAGUUCUCAGCACUGCAA
rnacentral:tRNA from 1 species